UACGUAGGGUGCAAGCGUUGUCCGGAAUUAUUGGGCGUAAAGAGCUCGUAGGCGGUCUGUCGCGUCGAAUGUGAAAACCCGGGGCUCAACUCCGGGCCUGCAUUCGAUACGGGCAGGCUAGAGUUCGGUAGGGGAGACUGGAAUUCCUGGUGUAGCGGUGAAAUGCGCAGAUAUCAGGAGGAACACCGGUGGCGAAGGCGGGUCUCUGGGCCGAUACUGACGCUGAGGAGCGAAAGCGUGGGGAGCGAACAGG
rnacentral:rRNA from 1 species